rnacentral:rRNA from 1 species
GACGAACGCUGGCGGCGUGCCUAAUACAUGCAAGUAGAACGCACAGUUUAUACCGUAGCUUGCUACACCAUAGACUGUGAGUUGCGAACGGGUGAGUAACGCGUAGGUAACCUGCCUGGUAGCGGGGGAUAACUAUUGGAAACGAUAGCUAAUACCGCAUAAUAUUAAUUAUUGCAUGAUAAUUAAUUGAAAGGUGCAAUUGCACCACUACCAGAUGGACCUGCGUUGUAUUAGCUAGUAGGUGAGGUAACGGCUCACCUAGGCGACGAUACAUAGCCGACCUGGGAGGGUGAUCGGCCACACUGGGACUGAGACACGGCCCAGACUCCUACGGGAGGCAGCAGUAGGGAAACUUCGGCAAUGGACGAAAGUCUGACCGAGCAACGCCGCGUGAGUGAAGAAGGUUUUCGGAUCGUAAAGAUCUGUUGUAAGAGAAGAACGGGUGUGAGAGUGGAAAGUUCACAAUGUGACGGUAGCUUACCAGAAAGAGACGGCUAACUACGUG